rnacentral:sRNA from 1 species
UGAUUGUAUUGAUUGAAAUCUCCUACAGCUGUGUGGUGACAAUAUCUGUGACAACAACCAGUACAGACAAUGUGCUCAGUGUCACUUUGACAAAAAAACAACCUGUGAUGAGGACUGCCCAUCUGUUGAAAUCGUUGAUUCUUUGAAAAGUUACCAAGUUUCAAGUCCAUGUUCAAUCAAGCAGGAAGAUGGAUGUUUCCUUUCAUUUUAUGUGAUUUCAUCUGAAACCAAUGUCACAAUUAUUGUACAAAAAACUAAAACAUGCUCUGAACCAGUUGAUAUUCUUCCUAUUGUGGCUGCAGUUGUUGGCGGUGUGGUUGCUAUUGGACUGUUGUUAUUACUGCUUUGGAAAAUUCUGACCAGUAUCUUUGACAAAAUUGAGUAUGCCAGAUUCCAGGAAGACCUCAAACAGUGCAAAUGGGCAAAGGUAAAACAAUUUAGCUAGAGAUUAUUUUUAAAAAAAAAGGCUUAAUAUAGAACUCAAUUCAUCUUUUUAAAUUUGUGUGCAGAUAUUCAAUAACAGAAAUUCAAUAUGUACUCACAAUAGAUAAUUUGCCCGUC